rnacentral:rRNA from 1 species
UACGGGGGGGGCAAGCGUUGUUCGGAAUUACUGGGCGUAAAGGGCUCGUAGGCGGCCAACUAAGUCGGAUGUGAAAUCCCCAGGCUUAACCUGGGAACUGCAUCCGAUACUGGAUGGCUUGAAUCCGGGAGAGGGAUGCAGAAUUCCAGGUGUAGCGGUGAAAUGCGUAGAUAUCUGGAGGAAUACCGGUGGCGAAGGCAGCAUCCUGGACCGGCAUUGACGCUGAUGAGCGAAAGCUAGGGGAGCAAACGGG